rnacentral:rRNA from 1 species
UACGGAGGGUGCAAGCGUUAUCCGGAUUCACUGGGUUAAAGGGUGCGUAGGCGGGUUGGUAAGGUCCGUGGUGAAAUCUCCAAGCUUAACUUGGAAACUGCCGUGGAUACUAUCAAUCUUGAAUGUCGUGGAGGUAAGCGGAAUAUGUCAUGGUAGCGGUGAAAUGCUUAGAGAAUGACAUAGAACACAAUUGCGUAGGCAGCUACUACACGUAAUAUUGACGACUGAGG